AGUGAACGCUGGCGGUAGGCCUAACACAUGCAAGUCGAACGGCAGCACAGUAAGAGCUUGCUCUUACGGGUGGCGAGUGGCGGACGGGUGAGGAAUACAUCGGAAUCUACUUUUUCGUGGGGGAUAACGUAGGGAAACUUACGCUAAUACCGCAUACGACCUACGGGUGAAAGCAGGGGAUCUUCGGACCUUGCGCGAUUGAAUGAGCCGAUGUCGGAUUAGCUAGUUGGCGGGGUAAAGGCCCACCAAGGCGACGAUCCGUAGCUGGUCUGAGAGGAUGAUCAGGCACACUGGAACUGAGACAAGGUCCCAACUCCUACGGGAAGCAGCAGUGGGGAAUAUUUGACAAUUGGGGGAAACCUUAUCCAGGCAUACCGCGUUGGUUGAAGAAGGCUUUGGGUUGGAAAACCCCUUUGGUUGGAAAGGAAAGCAGGCAGGUAAAACCCCGCUGUUCUGACGGUACCCAAAGAAUAAGCACCGGCUAACUUCGUG
rnacentral:rRNA from 1 species